rnacentral:lncRNA from 1 species
GCCGGACGCCCAGGGGAGGGGUGCAGCUGGUAGGGCCCGAACACACUGGUGGUAACCCGAGGACUAGGCGACUUGCCAAUUCUAAAGAACGCUGCUUUUCCUGUGCCCAGUUCCCUCACUCUUACUGGACUUGAACGAAUGAGAACAUCAUCGAGCACCAAAUAAUAAUGAUUUAAAAAUCAUGGGAACAAACAGUGAUAAAAAUGAUACUAUUUGUGGAGGAUCUGUGGGUCUGUUUUUUUUACAAGGAGUAUUUCAUUUGAUUCUCAUCUGAUUUUGUAAGGAAAUUACAAUUACUGUGUUUCUAGCCGGGCAAUGAUCUGCAGGACGUGAGAACUUGUUAGAAAUGCUAAUUCUCAGCCCAUCCAGCCUCCACUGACUUAUAUAUGCUGGGAGGCAAAGUCAAGCCCUUGGUGUUUAACAAGCCCUCCUUGGGGGGCUGACGCAUGUUCAAGUUUGAGAACCACUGUUUUCAGUACUGCUUUAGAACACCAUCUGAGAGAUCUGCAGGGGAAGUGUGGUUGCCCAGAGAGGAGGAGGAAAGUGGCUGCUGCCAUUCAGGAGUGGUGGCCGUGUUAACAGAUGAGGGGAGAGAGGAUGCAGUGGGUGACACUAAUGAAAUCUUAGCCUCAGUCUUUGGCUCAGCUGCUGAAUUUGGAAAAAUUCAAACAUUUAUAAAAGAAAACAGAAUGGUAUUGUGGACUCCACAGACUUGUCACCCAGCUUCAACAAUGAUCAGCUCAGCGUCAAUCUUGGGUGUCUACUUUUCCCAACCUCCAUCCCUGUCAAUGGAGACACCAUACCAUUGCCUCUGUAAAUAUACUGGUAUGUAUCACAUCAUUAAAAGAUAAGCACUCCUUUAUAAAAUAUAAUCACAAAAAUAUCAUAAAUAUAUGUGUCCAAACCUGAAGGAAGUGCAAAACCCAGAGUGAACCAUGGACUUUGAGUGAUAAUGAAAUUUCCAUGUGGCUUCAUCAGUUGUGACAAAUGUACCACUCUGAUGGGGGUUGUUGGUGAUGGGGGACAGUGUGUAGGGGGGAAGGAGAUACACAGUCAAUCUAUGUUCAAUUUUGCUAUAAUCCUAAAACUAUUCUAAAAAGUCUUUACAAAUAGGACAUAACCACAAUACUGUUAUUAAACUCAACAAUAGUUCCUUG